rnacentral:lncRNA from 1 species
AGGAAUCAAAUAAACCAGAUUAUUUCUGUUGGUAUACAACUCCAAUGUGUACAAAAGAUUAAAAGCAUCAGAGAAUUUAUUUUCCUACUUCUGAUUCACUUAAUUUUUCAUAAUGUCAUUGCAUCAUCACCAUCCAUACAAGUAUUUCAUGUGAUCUGGCAACCAAGAAACAUUACUGAUUAAUAGAAACAAAUAUUCUGAAAUGUUACUUUAAACUCCUACUGAAGGCUAGAAAGCCACAGCAGAAAAAGUACUUCUGUGAUUUUCCCAGACUUGUAAAGCAGCCCAUUGCUGAUCAUUUAAUCAAGUUUCUGUGCAGGUUGCCCUGAGGAAAUUCAAAUGGAAAGAUUGUCAAAACCCUCCAAAUACCAAAGUUGCAAGUAUUGUUGAUCAGGAGCUGUUCCGGGACAACAUAGUGUUUGUCAUCGGAAGGAAUGGAAAGCUAUACCAGUAUAACAAAGUGACUGAAUUGUGGCAUGAGCAUUAUCAGUCGCAACAUUUGAUUUUAUCAAGACUGCCUGGAACCGCUAUGAGGGCAUCAUCACAAUCACUUACAGGCUCACUAUUUAUGCUUUCAGAAGAUGGUGGACUGGUUGAAUAUCAUUGGAAUACCGGUGUUGGAUGGAAUUGGAUUGAACAUGGAACACCUAAUAAAGGUGUAACCUUGAUCACUUCCCCUAGCCCAUGCUUUGAAGGUAAUCAACUUUUUCUUAUUGGUUCAGAUGGAAAAGUGUACGUUAGGUAUAUGGACAAAAUGACAUGGAGAUGGAAAAACUGUGGCUUCCCAUAUUUGGGAAAAUUAAUGGACGAAGAUCAAACACAAGAGGGUGGAAAUGAUGAUAAUGAAGAAGUUUGCAUGGAUAAAGAUUUUGCAGCUAGCUUGGAGAAUGUUGCAGAGAAGUAUAGUGACUAUAAUAGAAACUGUGACCCAAAGGUUGGUUUAAGAAUCUUUUCCUCUUUUUUUUAAUUCAUAUACUAACUGGAUGCUGGACAGCAUUAGAAAUCAAUGAUGGGUGUUUUGAACAUUCACAGGUAGCACCAACAAGGCCAAUCCCAUUUUCUGAUGAUUCAGUUAUCUUCGAGCUCAAGGAUAGAAGAGUAAGGAACACUUGUUCAUUUACUGUCUCUGAUUUCUAUUAAUGAACACAAGUAAACUUGAGAUGUAGGGUUUAUCCUAAUUCACAAAGAAAGAGCUGCAAGUUUCACAUAAACAGACCAAGAAAAUGGAGUUGGACUAAAACUUGAAAACUACAUGAACAUUUUCAUAGAAGCUAACACAUUAUACAUGUCAGCAAAUGUUUUCUAGGAAACAGUCUAACACUCUUGACAACAAACUUAUUAGAAAUUUUAUUCAGGAAGUUAAAAGUUGAGCUAUUGAUUACUUUCUAUGUGCAAUUUAUGUUCUAAAAUUCUAGUGGCUGCAAGCUUCUAAUCUGAAACAUUCUUCCAAGCUAACAUAAACUUAAAAGGGACAUAAAAAUGAGAAUGGUGCUCACAUCAAUACUUGUGGCAGUUGGCAGAGAUGCGAAGAGUGGAGGGCACACAUUGGGUAUGGUCACGCACUAUUGGCACUCCAACAACCUUAUGCAUGGCCAAUUAUUGGACGGCUGUGGCUUCUUGAGGAAAACACACAACAUACAGAAGAACAUGUCAGAAACAUUCAUGUAUAGAUCAACUACUACAAGUAUACGAGUUUUGUACAUUUAACAAAGAAGAGAAAGUAAGAAAAAGAAAUAUCGGACCUUCUUUUCGCUUGCUGUGGGAGAGCAGGAAGCUGGAAUUAGAGUAGAGAACCAUCAGGAGCAGAAUUUCUAAUAUGACUGUUUGCACAGUGAAGG